GACGAACGCUGGCGGCGUGCUUAACACAUGCAAGUCGAACGGAAAGGCCCUGCUUUUGUGGGGUGCUCGAGUGGCGAACGGGUGAGUAACACGUGAGUAACCUGCCCUUGACUUUGGGAUAACUUCAGGAAACUGGGGCUAAUACCGGAUAGGAGCUCCUGCUGCAUGGUGGGGGUUGGAAAGUUUCGGCGGUUGGGGAUGGACUCGCGGCUUAUCAGCUUGUUGGUGGGGUAGUGGCUGACCAAGGCGUGGACGGGUCGCCGGCCUGAGAGGGUGACCGGCCACAUGGGGACUGAGAGACGGCCCAGACUCCUACGGGAGGCAGCAGUGGGGAAUAUUGCACAAUGGGCGGAAGCCGGAUGCAGCAACGCCGCGUGCGGGAUGACGGCCUUCGGGUUGUAAACCGCUUUCGCCUGUGACGAAGCGUGAGUGACGGUAAUGGGUGAAGAAGCACCGGCUAACUACGUG
rnacentral:rRNA from 1 species